rnacentral:rRNA from 1 species
AUUGAACGCUAGCGGGAUGCCUUACACAUGCAAGUCGAACGGAGUGGCGAACGGGUGAGUAAUGUAUCGGAACGUGCCCAGUCGCGGGGGAUAACUACGCGAAAGCGUAGCUAAUACCGCAUACUAUUGGUACGGCAGAUAUCGGAUUAGCUAGGUGUUGGGGUAACGGCCCACCAAGGCGACGAGCCGUAGCGGGUUUGAGAGGACGACCAGCCACACUGGGACUGAGACACGGCCCAGACUCCUACGGGAGGCAGCAGUGGGGAAUUUGGGACAAUGGGGGAAACCCUGAGCCAGCCAUCCCGCGUGUGCGAUGAAGGCCUUCGGGUGGUAAAGCACUUUUGGCAGGGAAGCGUUACCUGCAGAAUAAGCACCGGCUAACUACGUGCCAGCCGCCGCGGUAAUUC